rnacentral:rRNA from 1 species
UACGGAGGGAGCUAGCGUUGUUCGGAAUUACUGGGCGUAAAGCGCGCGUAGGCGGCUUUGUAAGUUAGAGGUGAAAGCCCGGGGCUCAACCCCGGAAAUUGCCUUUAAGACUGCAUCGCUUGAAUCCGGGAGAGGUAAGUGGAACUCCUAGUGUAGAGGUGGAAUUCGUAGAUAUUAGGAAGAACACCAGUGGCGAAGGCGGCUUACUGGUCCGGUACUGACGCUGAGGUGCGAAAGCGUGGGGAGCAAACAGG